rnacentral:rRNA from 1 species
UCCUGGCUCAGGAUGAACCGCUGGCGGCGUGCCUAAUACAUGCAAGUCGAACGAACUUCCCGUUAAAUUGAUCAGGACGUGCUUGCACUGAAUGAGAUUUUAACACGAAGUGAGUGGCCGAACGGGUGAGUAACACGUGGGUAACCUGCCCAGAAGCAGGGGAUAACACCUGGAAACAGAUGCUAAUCCCGUAUAACAGAGAAAACCGCCUGGUUUUCUUUUAAAAGAUGGCUCUGCUAUCACUUCUGGAUGGACCCGCGGCGCAUUAGCUAGUUGGUGAGGUAACGGCUCACCAAGGCGAUGAUGCGUAGCCGACCUGAGAGGGUAAUCGGCCACAUUGGGACUGAGACACGGCCCAGACUCCUACGGGAGGCAGCAGUAGGGAAUCUUCCACAAUGGACGCAAGUCUGAUGGAGCAACGCCGCGUGAGUGAAGAAGGGUUUCGGCUCGUAAAGCUCUGUUGUUAAAGAAGAACGUGGGUGAGAGUAACUGUUCACCCAGUGACGGUAUUUAACCAGAAAGCCACGGCUAACUACGUGCCAGCAGCCGCGGUAAUACGUAGGUGGCAAGCGUUAUCCGGAUUUAUUGGGCGUAAAGCGAGCGCAGGCGGUCUUUUAAGUCUAAUGUGAAAGCCUUCGGCUCAACCGAAGAAGUGCAUUGGAAACUGGGAGACUUGAGUGCAGAAGAGGACAGUGGAACUCCAUGUGUAGCGGUGAAAUGCGUAGAUAUAUGGAAGAACACCAGUGGCGAAGGCGGCUGUCUGGUCUGUAACUGACGCUGAGGCUCGAAAGCAUGGGUAGCGAACAGGAUUAGAUACCCUGGUAGUCCAUGCCGUAAACGAUGAUUACUAAGUGUUGGAGGGUUUCCGCCCUUCAGUGCUGCAGCUAACGCAUAAGUAAUCCGCCU